GGGUCAGUAGGUUGGUCGUGCCACCGGUACGUACUGGUCUCACUGGUUCCUCCUUCCUGAAGAACCGUAAUGCCAUUAAUUUGGUGUUGCGGGGAAACAGGACUGUUACUUUGAAAAAAUUAGAGUGUUUAGAGCAAGCUAACGCUUGAAUACAUUAGCAUGGAAUAAUGAAAUAGGACGAUCGAUCCUAUUUUGUUGGUUUCUAGGAUUGACGUA
rnacentral:rRNA from 1 species